AUUGAACGCUGGCGGCAUGCCUAACACAUGCAAGUCGAACGGCAGCACAGCAGUAGCAAUACUGUGGGUGGCGAGUGGCGGACGAGUGAGGAAUACGUCGGAAUCUGCCCAGUCGUGGGGGAUAACUAGCCGAAAGGUUAGCUAAUACCGCAUACGACCGAGAGGUGAAAAGCGGGGGACCGCAAGGGCCUCGCGCGAUUGGAUGAGCCGACGUCGGAUUAGCUAGUUGGCGGGUAAAGGCCCACCAAGGCGACGAUCCGUAGCUGGUCUGAGAGGAUGAUCAGCCACACUGGAACUGAGACACGGUCCAGACUCCUACGGGAGGCAGCAGUGGGGAAUAUUGGACAAUGGGCGCAAGCCUGAUCCAGCAAUGACCGCGUGUGUGAAG
rnacentral:rRNA from 1 species